AGCCACAGCCAUGUCACCCUGCAGCCCAAGACCGGUUACUCACUGAAGCUAAGCAGGGCUGAGCCUGGUCAGUACCUGGAUGGGAGAUGACAUGUGAAAACUAGGUUGCUGCUGGAA
rnacentral:rRNA from 1 species